CCUACGGGUGGCUGCAGUGAGGAAUAUUGGUCAAUGGGCGCGAGCCUGAACCAGCCAAGUAGCGUGAAGGAUGAAUGCCCUACGGGUUGUAAACUUCUUUUAUAAAGGAAUAAAGUGAGGCACGUGUGCCUUUUUGUAUGUACUUUAUGAAUACGGAUCGGCUAACUCCGUGCCAGCAGCCGCGGUAAUACGGAGGAUCCGAGCGUUAUCCGGAUUUAUUGGGUUUAAAGGGAGCGUAGAUGGGUUGUUAAGUCAGUUGUGAAAGUUUGUGGCUCAACCGUAAAAUUGCAAUUGAUACUGGCAGCCUUGAGUACAGGUGAGGUAGGCGGAAUUCGUGGUGUAGCGGUGGAAUGCGUAGAUAUUAGGAGGAACAUCAGGGGCGAAGGCGACUUACUGGACUGUAACUGACACUGAGGCACGAAAGCGUGGGGAGCAAACAGGAUUAGAUACCCCUGUAGUC
rnacentral:rRNA from 1 species